rnacentral:rRNA from 1 species
AUAACGACUCUCGGCAACGGAUAUCUCGGCUCUCGCAUCGAUGAAGAACGUAGCGAAAUGCGAUACUUGGUGUGAAUUGCAGAAUCCCGUGAACCAUCGAGUCUUUGAACGCAAGUUGCGCCCGAAGCCAUCAGGUUGAGGGCACGUCUGCCUGGGCGUCACG